rnacentral:ncRNA from 12 species
AAUGUAAUUAUUAAUUUCAGUAUUUACUGAGUGAUAGACAUAAACUAAAACUUGAUUCUGACAGAA